AAAUAGGACCACGGAGCUAUUGUUUCACAACACCUGCUUAUGCGGACGGGCAGCUGAAAGCCAGCAUGCCAACUGGAAGGAGGAGAGAAAAGAAAAGUUGUAAAGAGAUUUCAGGCAGAGAAGAAGGAAGCAAUGCUACCUAUUGGAAGAUCCAGUGCAAUGAGUUGCCCGCCAAAUCUGGUGGGUUACUAGUUAAUAGAGACUGUAAUUGGAUCUCCCCAAAUGUGUUUGUGACCACUUUGAAGAGUUGCUUGUGACAGUUGAUCUGCAUUGCAAGAAUACCUCUAGGAUAAGAUCCUUCCUGUUUCACAGCGUAAGAAAGAGCACUGGCAGCAGUCAAGGUAAAACCACUAGCAGUAUUGGAAGAAUGUGUUUGGAUGAUGAACUCAAAGAAGGAAUUUCAACCUCAGUUUCUCUAUUUAUAGGACUGACAGUGCGUCUAUGAGUUCAUUGGCACUCUUGGGCACCACAUUAGAAACCCCAACUUCAGUGGACUGUGUGAAGCAGAUCUAUAGAUAAGAGCUUGGGUGCUCAAAUUAAUUGAAUAGGUAAUUCCUGGUAAUAAAAAAAGGGGGGGGGAUCAGAUUAC